GGCUGGUCCGAUGGUAGUGGGUUAUCAGAACGUAUUAACAUUAGUAUCACUAUAGUUGGUAUACAAACCCCCAAUGCUGAAUUUGACUGGCUAAA
rnacentral:Y_RNA from 1 species